UUAGUCAAUCAAAACUCCGCGAAUGCACUAGAUCUCAUCAGAAUUCUGGAGUUAAGCGUGAUUGACCGAACGUAUAUGGGUGACCUUUUGGAAAGUUCUCGUGUUACACCUAU
rfam:Brassica napus, WGS project CCCW01000000 data, contig: 1413